GACAGCGGUGCCCCGCUUUCUUCUUCCUCCCUUUUCUUCAAUCUUUUUUAUUUUUAUUCCUAAGUACCUUGUGAAAUCCCACGGCUUAACCGUGGAACUGCUUGGUAUACUGGGUGUCUUGAGCCAACUAGGGGCAGUCGGAACAAACGGUGGAGCGGUGAAAUGCGUAGAUAUCGUUUGGAACGCCAAUGGUGAAAACAGACUGCUGGGGUUGUGCUGACACUGAGACACGAAAGCCAGGGGAGCAAACGGG
rnacentral:rRNA from 1 species